rnacentral:rRNA from 1 species
CACGUAGUUAGCCGUGGCUUCCUCCUUAGGUACCGUCAUUAUCGUCCCUAAAGACAGAGCUUUACAAUCCGAAGACCUUCAUCGCUCACGCGGCGUUGCUGCGUCAGGGUUUCCCCCAUUGCGCAAUAUUCCCCACUGCUGCCUCCCGUAGGAGUCUGGACCGUGUCUCAGUUCCAAUGUGGCCGAUCACCCUCUCAGGUCGGCUACGCAUCGUCGCCUUGGUGAGCCGUUACCCUCACCAACUAGCUAAUGCGCCGCGGGCCCAUCUUAGUGCGGAUUGCUCCUUUGAUUAUUCUAUCAUGCGAUAAAAUAAUGUUAUGCGGUAUUAAUCUCCCUUUCGGGAGGCUAUCCCCCUCACUAAGGUAGGUUGCCCACGUGUUACUCACCCGUCCGCCGCUAGAAUUACUCCCGAAGGAGCUCUUCUCGCUCGACUUGCAUGUGUUAGCACGCCGCCAGCGUCGUCCUGACGCCAGGAUACAACGUACU